rfam:Brachypodium distachyon strain Bd21 chromosome 2, whole genome shotgun sequence.
AAAAUUGAUAAUGAUGAUUUGAUUUCUGUGAUCUUAGCAGGUCUAGACGCCGACUACAACCCGUUCGUCUCAUCCGUCUCCGGCAAGGUGGACGAACUUUCACUGAGCGAGAUCUAUGCUCAGUUCCUGGCGUUCGAGG